GGUUAAGCGACUAAGCGUACACGGUGGAUGCCCUGGCAGUCAGAGGCGAUGAAGGACGUGCUAAUCUGCGAUAAGCGUCGGUAAGGUGAUAUGAACCGUUAUAACCGGCGAUUUCCGAAUGGGGAAACCCAGUGUGUUUCGACACACUAUCAUUAACUGAAUCCAUAGGUUAAUGAGGCGAACCGGGGGAACUGAAACAUCUAAGUACCCCGAGGAAAAGAAAUCAACCGAGAUUCCCCCAGUAGCGGCGAGCGAACGGGGAGGAGCCCAGAGCCUGAAUCAGUGUGUGUGUUAGUGGAAGCGUCUGGAAAGGCGCGCGAUACAGGGUGACAGCCCCGUACACAAAAAUGCACAUGCUGUGAGCUCGAUGAGUAGGGCGGGACACGUGGUAUCCUGUCUGAAUAUGGGGGGACCAUCCUCCAAGGCUAAAUACUCCUGACUGACCGAUAGUGAACCAGUACCGUGAGGGAAAGGCGAAAAGAACCCCGGCGAGGGGAGUGAAAAAGAACCUGAAACCGUGUACGUACAAGCAGUGGGAGCACGCUUCGGCGUGUGACUGCGUACCUUUUGUAUAAUGGGUCAGCGACUUAUAUUCUGUAGCAAGGUUAACCGAAUAGGGGAGCCGAAGGGAAACCGAGUCUUAACUGGGCGUUAAGUUGCAGGGUAUAGACCCGAAACCCGGUGAUCUAGCCAUGGGCAGGUUGAAGGUUGGGUAACACUAACUGGAGGACCGAACCGACUAAUGUUGAAAAAUUAGCGGAUGACUUGUGGCUGGGGGUGAAAGGCCAAUCAAACCGGGAGAUAGCUGGUUCUCCCCGAAAGCUAUUUAGGUAGCGCCUCGUGAAUUCAUCUCCGGGGGUAGAGCACUGUUUCGGCAAGGGGGUCAUCCCGACUUACCAACCCGAUGCAAACUGCGAAUACCGGAGAAUGUUAUCACGGGAGACACACGGCGGGUGCUAACGUCCGUCGUGAAGAGGGAAACAACCCAGACCGCCAGCUAAGGUCCCAAAGUCAUGGUUAAGUGGGAAACGAUGUGGGAAGGCCCAGACAGCCAGGAUGUUGGCUUAGAAGCAGCCAUCAUUUAAAGAAAGCGUAAUAGCUCACUGGUCGAGUCGGCCUGCGCGGAAGAUGUAACGGGGCUAAACCAUGCACCGAAGCUGCGGCAGCGACGCUUAUGCGUUGUUGGGUAGGGGAGCGUUCUGUAAGCCUGUGAAGGUGUGCUGUGAGGCAUGCUGGAGGUAUCAGAAGUGCGAAUGCUGACAUAAGUAACGAUAAAGCGGGUGAAAAGCCCGCUCGCCGGAAGACCAAGGGUUCCUGUCCAACGUUAAUCGGGGCAGGGUGAGUCGACCCCUAAGGCGAGGCCGAAAGGCGUAGUCGAUGGGAAACAGGUUAAUAUUCCUGUACUUGGUGUUACUGCGAAGGGGGGACGGAGAAGGCUAUGUUGGCCGGGCGACGGUUGUCCCGGUUUAAGCGUGUAGGCUGGUUUUCCAGGCAAAUCCGGAAAAUCAAGGCUGAGGCGUGAUGACGAGGCACUACGGUGCUGAAGCAACAAAUGCCCUGCUUCCAGGAAAAGCCUCUAAGCAUCAGGUAACAUCAAAUCGUACCCCAAACCGACACAGGUGGUCAGGUAGAGAAUACCAAGGCGCUUGAGAGAACUCGGGUGAAGGAACUAGGCAAAAUGGUGCCGUAACUUCGGGAGAAGGCACGCUGAUAUGUAGGUGAAGCGACUUGCUCGUGGAGCUGAAAUCAGUCGAAGAUACCAGCUGGCUGCAACUGUUUAUUAAAAACACAGCACUGUGCAAACACGAAAGUGGACGUAUACGGUGUGACGCCUGCCCGGUGCCGGAAGGUUAAUUGAUGGGGUUAGCGCAAGCGAAGCUCUUGAUCGAAGCCCCGGUAAACGGCGGCCGUAACUAUAACGGUCCUAAGGUAGCGAAAUUCCUUGUCGGGUAAGUUCCGACCUGCACGAAUGGCGUAAUGAUGGCCAGGCUGUCUCCACCCGAGACUCAGUGAAAUUGAACUCGCUGUGAAGAUGCAGUGUACCCGCGGCAAGACGGAAAGACCCCGUGAACCUUUACUAUAGCUUGACACUGAACAUUGAGCCUUGAUGUGUAGGAUAGGUGGGAGGCUUUGAAGUGUGGACGCCAGUCUGCAUGGAGCCGACCUUGAAAUACCACCCUUUAAUGUUUGAUGUUCUAACGUGGACCCGUGAUCCGGGUUGCGGACAGUGUCUGGUGGGUAGUUUGACUGGGGCGGUCUCCUCCUAAAGAGUAACGGAGGAGCACGAAGGUUGGCUAAUCCUGGUCGGACAUCAGGAGGUUAGUGCAAUGGCAUAAGCCAGCUUGACUGCGAGCGUGACGGCGCGAGCAGGUGCGAAAGCAGGUCAUAGUGAUCCGGUGGUUCUGAAUGGAAGGGCCAUCGCUCAACGGAUAAAAGGUACUCCGGGGAUAACAGGCUGAUACCGCCCAAGAGUUCAUAUCGACGGCGGUGUUUGGCACCUCGAUGUCGGCUCAUCACAUCCUGGGGCUGAAGUAGGUCCCAAGGGUAUGGCUGUUCGCCAUUUAAAGUGGUACGCGAGCUGGGUUUAGAACGUCGUGAGACAGUUCGGUCCCUAUCUGCCGUGGGCGCUGGAGAACUGAGGGGGGCUGCUCCUAGUACGAGAGGACCGGAGUGGACGCAUCACUGGUGUUCGGGUUGUCAUGCCAAUGGCACUGCCCGGUAGCUAAAUGCGGAAGAGAUAAGUGCUGAAAGCAUCUAAGCACGAAACUUGCCCCGAGAUGAGUUCUCCCUGACUCCUUGAGAGUCCUGAAGGAACGUUGAAGACGACGACGUUGAUAGGCCGGGUGUGUAAGCGCAGCGAUGCGUUGAGCUAACCGGUACUAAUGAACCGUGAGGCUUAACCUU
rnacentral:rRNA from 1 species